rnacentral:rRNA from 1 species
UACGUAGGGUGCGAGCGUUGUCCGGAAUUAUUGGGCGUAAAGGGCUCGUAGGCGGUCUGUUGCGUCAGGAGUGAAAACUCGGGGCUUAACCCCGAGCCUGCUUCUGAUACGGGCAGACUAGAGGUAUGCAGGGGAGAACGGAAUUCCUGGUGUAGCGGUGAAAUGCGCAGAUAUCAGGAGGAACACCGGUGGCGAAGGCGGUUCUCUGGGCCUGUACUGACGCUGAGGAGCGAAAGCGUGGGGAGCGAACAGG